GCUGGGAGCUACACUGGUGAUAAUUCUUAGAACUGCACAGUAUCUCUCUGUUCUCUACAAUGUCAAGGCUGAAAACCACAGUAAGGAAUGAAAAGAACACUGUUUCCACAUAGCAGAAAGAAGAAAAGAAGAGACUCAGAAGGUGGGCAGGCUUGGGUGGUAAGGAUUAACUAUCUGUUUUAGUAUAGCCUUUUUUUCCUUUUCUUUUUUUUUAAAAAAAGAAAUUUAUAUUCAAAGUAAACACUCCAGUUCAGCUAAAGUUAGUUGUGACAUGCAGCACAAUUUUACUGAGGAGUAAGUUCCAUUUACUUCAUUAGAAUUUACUCCCAAGUAAGUGUGCAUAGAAUUGCAGGCUAACUUUGACUGGCAACAAUGGUAUUAAAUUUAGUCACAAAUUACUGGUCUCAUUGGCUUCAAUGGGGCUAAUUUUGGUUGGCUUGGGACAAAGCAAAUAUUCACUUUGCAUGCUGAAACUGCCAGAUUGCCAUAUUUUGAGAAUGUUGGUGAAUAUCUUUAUAUCCAGUAAUACUCUCUCUCUCUCUCUCUCUCUCUCUCUCUCUCUCUGUGUGUGUGUGUGUGCGUGUAUGUAAUCCAAGAGCAACUCCUCCAAUACCAGCUAACUCAUUCCCUAAGAUUUGGUGAGUAUGGGGUUUUGUUCAUGGCCGCUACUAGGUUACAUGAAUCAGGGAUAUAUGGCACAGACUUCUCUGUGGUGGCCCCCUCACUUUGGAACACCCACCCACCCACCUGGAGCUGGGAUUGUUAUCCCUUUUUUGUGUUUAGUUGAUAGAGAUUCUGUUAUUUUAAUGCCAAACAGCUGCAAAUGAUUCCUGUGUUUGAAUGGUUUUGUUAUUUUAUAGAUAGUAAUGGUUAUUUGUGUGUGUUUUAUUUAUUUUUUAUACAUGGUUGUUUUAUCUUUUAUUGUACAUCAUAUCUGUGCUCCUUCUGAAGGAAGUGUGAUUCUUAAACUUAAUAAAUAAAUAAAUAAAUAAAUAACAACAAGAAGAAGUGUUUUUUGCUUAUUUUUUGGGUGGCCUGCUAUUUCUGACAGAGAAUGGGGAGAUUCACAUGUAAAUAUAAAUUGAAUAAUGCUUCUCUCCCAUCCCUACUGACACUAAAUUAUAAUAGUUGCUGUUAUUAUUAUUAUUUUGUGUUUAUGUACCUCCUUUCCUCCUUUAGUUAACAGAUUUCUAAACUACCUUUCAGGAUAAAUUAACCUCCCAAGUUGGUUUAUAAAUUCAUUCCCCGCAUCAUUUGCUAUCUUCUAUAAAUGAGUUACAGUUUGAAAUUUAAUUUGUAAAAUUAAUGUAGGAUAUUAAUAACAAAAACUUGUGAUUGAGCCAAUCAGCUUUCUUUGGAUCAACCAACUGAGCUGUUGACUGAUGUCACAGCUAAAUCUGAAUCUAAUUUAUUUUUAUUUCUUUAAGAACAGAUUUCAUCGAAACAGCAGUCUACUCAUUUCAUUUUUGUAGAGAAAGUCCAAUUGAUAUAAUGAGAAAUGUUAGGCUCACAUCUACUAAAAUGUUACUAUGCUGCACAUAAAAUUUCUAGAGAAUAUGAGCUGGAGCACAAUGCCCUAUCUUUGUAUCUAUUUUAAGUUACAGCAGCUACAUAAUUCUUUUAAAUGCUCCUACAAUAUUUUUGUGAUUUCUCAUAUAGGUUCUAAUGCACCUGAAUUGAUUUUCUCCUUUGGCUUGCUUCAGGCCAAAACAAUGUGAACUGAGCUAAAGAUGACCACAACCCCAACUUUCUACGGUAAGUAUAUCUCUAUUUAUAAAGCAUACAUCAUAAACAUAUACUGCAAGUCUUUCCAGAGGGGAAAAAAGUCCAUAAAAUAAAAUCUGCAAAAUAAAACGACAUUUUAAAAAAGAGAUUGCGGCAAUAUGAGUUGAAACACCUCCAGUUAAAUGAAUACAUAAUAUAUAUUACAUAUAAAACCUAUUAAUCCAAUUUAACAACAUUCAAUGCAUUUAUGCUAAGAAACAGCUAAAAAGCACUAAAUGGAAUUUACAGAGAUGAAUAAAAAGCACAAUUACCAACUAGACUUGGGAGAUUCCAGUUGGUAAAUGAGUCUGUGAAAUUGCCUUCUGUUAAAAAAGAGUAUUAAUGGCUAUGUUAGCACUUGACUAAUAUUUUAUGGUGCAGACUGUUGCUAAAUUAAACCCUUUGUGUGUCUUCCUACAGAGACACUUAGUUAUAGUUAGAACGGUUGUUUCCUGUUAAAUACCUUUAAGAGUUUGCUGUGGGCUGAAAUCCUUGCCUCAGCUUUUCUGUAUGUUGUAACUGUGUACAUGUUACCUUUCCUACCUGCUGAGAAGAUUCAGGUGGUAAAAUGUCACACAACCUUAGUAUUAUUGGGGUGAACCAAGCAUCCAGGCCCUGCUUGCUGUGAAGAACCCUGACACACAUGCAACGCUCCACAUACACAUCACUGCAGUGUCUGUAUAGCAGGAUGGGAACCUGUUGCCCUCUAGACAUUCUUGGACUCCAGCUCCAGCCAGUGUUCAGAGAUAAUGGGGGCUAUAGUUCAACAGCAUCUGAAAGGCUGUAUGUUCCCCAUCUCUGAUGUAUAGAGAGAUGUAUUACUUCGUCCAUCUUCCAGUGUGGAUGUGAAUAGACACCAGCAUCCAUCCUUGAAGGCCACAUGCCAUGUAUGGUUAGUGGUUUAUCUGAAGUGAGACAAACCAUGAGCCUGUAUUUGAACAAACCUCUAAACAAAACUAGGUAUUAGUGCAGCAGGACCAGGAGAGAAGUGAAACGGCCAAGAUCUUUGCUAUGAAUAGCUGUACAAUUGCACAUUCAUGCUUAGCCAUGGUUUGGCUUAGCGUUGCAAGUGAAUCAGGUCAAACUCCUCAAACCAUAGCAGUAUCAUAUUCUGACAUUUUCUCAGUAUGUAGGAAAAAAGCCUCUUGUCAUAAAUCACAAGAGAUACGUACCAUAAAAGUUUGUCUUGCAAUUAGCACACCUUUAUUCUAGUACAAUGCAAGUCUGCGUGGAGCACUUUGUCUCAAUCAAAAUGACAGCAUAUAAAGAUGUUGGGUGAACACUGCGUGAUUGAUUAUUAAACAAGCAUAGUGUAACAUGUGUAAGCUUUCAUAAAUGCUUGUUCGCUAGCAUGCAUUUAUGCCUAUCAGCAAUAGCUCAAGUCAGGUAGUAGGAUAAAGCUUUCAAGAAGAAGGAAAAGUUGCUAUUGUGGUGGAAGAAGACUUGAAGUACCAUAUGAAAAUGGUUAUAGAAGGAAAGCAGCUUUGUAGAUAUUCAUUGAUAUAAUCCACAUCAACCAUUGAUUUAAAUAGAAUGUGCAGUAUGUAUAUGAUUGGAGGUUUUUUGUACUUCAACAACUCUAUUCUGAUUUGUAGACAGACAAAUGGACAGUGAACCCUUUGGAGGACUUGGCUUCUGUUGCUGUCUGGAUAAAUAAAUGAUUCCUCCACUGAAAUGAUCUGGGAAGCCUGCAUGUGUCAGAUAUCCAUGUGCAUCUGGAUCUUUUGGAUUGGUCCAUUUAUCUUCUACAAGACAUUCUGCCUGCAGUAAUGCAGUACAAAGAGAACACAUUAUAUUUUCUGUGUGUUUUGACCAGGCUCACAAGAAGCAUUUCCUCUUGGAUCGCUUCAGUGGUUAUUUAAUAAAGCUACCCCACCCCAGGAAUUGGCUUGACGGACGC
rnacentral:lncRNA from 1 species